AAGUGUCUUGGACGUUUUUUUUGUGUUAUUUCAAGAGUUUCCUUAAUUUUCAUUUACUAGUUUUAAUGAAUAAUUGGUUGGUUGGCUUGUAACCACCAAAUUUGUAAUAAAGGCUUCAUAUAAAGCCAAGUUUAUGCAUGGAAAAAGGAAUAGACGAAUUUUUAAGAAAAAAACCUUUGUUCAAUUGGAAUUAUUGUUAUAAUUCACAAAUUAUCUUGUUAGGACGUGUUCUUGACUUGAUACGAACUCAAUCCAAUAGGUCUUGGAUUGUUUUCACCGGUAUACAACUUAAUAGGUCUUGAGUUGUUACUAAUCUAUCCAUUUCUUUCCAUUCAUAUAUCAUUUGUGGUUACUAUUCUCUCUUAAUUUACCUAAACACUACCCUACUCACCAAAUCAAGCCCAUACAUGCAUCAUAAGUGGUAUCAGAGCCUAGUUCCGAUUGGGUGUAACUAAGUUCUUGUUCUGAAUUCAGUUGUUGUCCAAAAAUGUUGCGCAAGCUAUAUGAUGAAGAAGAGGAGGUAGAAGAUUCUGGUCCCAUCUACGACACCGAUGGAGAAGGGGAAUUUUGUGAAAGAAUAAGUUUCUUGGUUGAAGAGGAAUUUAUUGAAGAACUUGACGAAGAAACUAAUUUCGUGAUCGGAGAUGAAUUUGUUGAAGCAAUUGUGGAGGAAAUCAAUUUUGUUGAUAUGGACAAAAUUAUUGAAGAAAUUGUGAUUUUUGUUGAACAACAAAUUUCAUUCCAAGAGCUUACAACCACGAGAACCAAUGACUAUAAGUGCCACAAAAGUUCAUGUUCUCAUAUCUUUUAUGAACAUAACUCCUUUUCUAAAGAUCUUAAAGAAAUCCAAAUUGGAAGCUUCAUUGAUCAAGAAGAUUUAUUUGUUUUUCAUCUUCAUGUUCGUUUCAAAGUGUGGGAAAUUUUUACACUUUGGAGACCAUGGAAUGCUUAUAUUUUACAUUUUGAAGACCUUGGUGAGAGGAGGAAGCAUGGUGAGAUGUUGGAUUUUACUAAUUAUGAUCUUAAUAAUGAUGUUUUUGUUUUGUCUUCAUUCAUUGAUCAAAAGGAGAAAAAUGACUUGCGUAUUACUUUUGAUAAAAAGUUUUGUGCAAUUAGAGAUGAAGACUUUUCAUUCGUGGCUCAAAAACAAGAAGACGAAUUAUUUUUGGAUGAUGGUAGAAUUUUGUACCCUCCAAAAGACGAUAUGAUGAUUUCCAAAACAAUAUGUGUUCAUGGUGGUAGCAAUCAGUCACCAAAAGAGGCAUUGUGUGGCAAUUCUUAUGCCAAUUUUCUAUGUUGUCCACAAACAAAACAUAUUUUCGUUAAUUCUUCAUUCAUUGUUCAAAAACACCAAGACCGAUGGCGUGAAGUUUAUUGGGAACGAAAGAAGAAGGAUGGUAUCCAUCUUUUUACAAACCAUCUUUCUAAGAGAAAAUAUGAAGAUACAAGUCCUAAUUAUUUACAUAGGAGGGAGCUCGUGAUGUUUGGACUGAUAUUCUUUUGGUGUCUCUUUAAUUGGGAAGUCGUGAUAUUGGGGCGUGCUGCUCAUCAACUUACAAAUACAAAUGAUGUUCCAUUUGUUAAAAUGACUGCAAUUAACCAUUUAAAUUAUUGCAAGGUUAAUUUGCAGGGUCGAGUUCAUGGGAAGGUACGAAAAUGGUUUUUGAUCCACAAAUUGAAGAUACGGUUAGGAUUCAAUUCUAUGAGUUCUUUGAGUUGUUUGAAGAACAUGUGUAUUUGGAGAAGAAACCAGCUUGGAGUAAAUAAAAUGUCACAUUCUGCAAUAAAAAAUUGUUUUCAAGACCUGUUGUCAUGGAAGGUUUGCAUGGGAGAACAACACAAUUUGGUUCUUACCGAAUUGAGGACAAUUCCUUUCGAAGAAGGAGGGAAUGAUACAUGUGUGGAAGUGACAAAUUCUGAAAAUGAUAAUGGUUACAAGGUGGAUUUGGGAGGAGACCAUGGAAUGCAUGCUACCUUUAAUGUGGGAGAGCUUUCACCUUAUCUUGAUGAUGAUGGACUUGAUGAAUUGAGGUCAAUUCCUUUCAAAGGGGGAGGGGAUGAUCCAUGCAUGGAUUAUGAAAGCCCAAAAGGUGAUGGAUUAGUGAUUACUAGUGGGCUAGAAGGUGGCUUGGGCUCAAUGGUUGGGUUAUGCAUGGUAACCCACAAAUUGAAUUAGGGUUGCAUGAAGGCUAGGGCAACAUUUUUAAGGAUUCAUAAGUGCUACAAACGUUACUUUUUGCUUCAUAAAGCCUCCUAGCCGUUUUUAUCACUCUUUGGUGCAUUAGGGUUACACUUUAAUGCUUCUGAUGGCUCAUUAAUGCUUCUUAUGGCUCCUUAAUGAAGCAUAGACGUUUUUUCUUCAUCCUCAAGUGUCUUGGACGUUUUUUUUGUGUUAUUUCAAGAGUUUCCUUAAUUUUCAUUUACUAGUUUUAAUGAAUAAUUGGUUGGUUGGCUUGUAACCACCAAAUUUGUAAUAAAGGCUUCAUAUAAAGCCAAGUUUAUGCAUGGAAAAAGGAAUAGACGAAUUUUUAAGAAAAAAACCUUUGUUCAAUUGGAAUUAUUGUUAUAAUUCACAAAUUAUCUUGUUAGGACGUGUUCUUGACUUGAUACGAACUCAAUCCAAUAGGUCUUGGAUUGUUUUCACCGGUAUACAACUUAAUAGGUCUUGAGUUGUUACUAAUCUAUCCAUUUCUUUCCAUUCAUAUAUCAUUUGUGGUUACUAUUCUCUCUUAAUUUACCUAAACACUACCCUACUCACCAAAUCAAGCCCAUACAUGCAUCAUAAGUGGUAUCAGAGCCUAGUUCCGAUUGGGUGUAACUAAGUUCUUGUUCUGAAUUCAGUUGUUGUCCAAAAAUGUUGCGCAAGCUAUAUGAUGAAGAAGAGGAGGUAGAAGAUUCUGGUCCCAUCUACGACACCGAUGGAGAAGGGGAAUUUUGUGAAAGAAUAAGUUUCUUGGUUGAAGAGGAAUUUAUUGAAGAACUUGACGAAGAAACUAAUUUCGUGAUCGGAGAUGAAUUUGUUGAAGCAAUUGUGGAGGAAAUCAAUUUUGUUGAUAUGGACAAAAUUAUUGAAGAAAUUGUGAUUUUUGUUGAACAACAAAUUUCAUUCCAAGAGCUUACAACCACGAGAACCAAUGACUAUAAGUGCCACAAAAGUUCAUGUUCUCAUAUCUUUU
rnacentral:lncRNA from 1 species